CAAUAGCAUAUAUUAACGUUGUUGCAGUUGAAAAGCUCGUAGUUGAACUUUUGGUAGGAGCGACCUGGCCUUGGGCGCAUGCCCUUGUUUGCCGUGUGUCGUGUCUGGCCAUCCUUUUCCGCUUCGGCGGGAAUCUUUUACUGUGAGUAAACUGGAGUGCUCAAAACAAGACGUUUGUUUGGUACAUUAAAGCAUGGAAUAAUAAGAUAGGACCUGGUUACUAUUUUGUUGGUUUGCAUAGCUAGGUAAUGAUUAACAGGGACAGUUGGGGGUAUUCGUAUUUAAUUGUCAGAGGUGAAAUUCCUGGAUUUAUGAAAGACGAACGACUGCGAAAGCAUUUACCAAGGAUGUUUUCAUUAA
rnacentral:rRNA from 1 species